ensembl:lncRNA
GUCACCAAGGGGGCCACGGGUGCCUCUGGGGUCACGGGUGCCUCUGGGGUCAUGUGCGAGGCAGGUGUCACCGGUGAUGCAGGUAUCGUGGGUGUCACGGGUGUCAUCAAUAUUGCAUUCCCCAGUGGCCUCCUGGGUGCUUAGGGCUUCAUAGGUGGGCUGGUGUACCAGGUGUGGCUUGUGUCACGGCUGGUGCAGGCAUCACAGAUGAGGCUGGUACCUGUGGUAUCGCAGCUGUCGCAGGUGCUGAUCGUGUCACGGGCGUCUCUCGUGUCACGAGUUACGCUGGUGUCACGGGUGUGGCUGCUGUCACGCCUGCCGCAGGUGCCGCAGGUGAGCCUGGUCCCGCACGUGUCGUGGCGGUCACUGGCGUGAUCUGUGGCUAGGGCGCUGCUGGCAUCGUGGGUGUUGUGAGU